ensembl:lncRNA
GUAAUGGAAUGUAUCUGCUUUUUGUCUGCUAUAUGUCCCCUCCUGUUCCCUGAUUAAGAGGUGAUGACUACUCCACUCUACUACCUUUGUCAAAUUUCUCCUGACAUGAACUGAAGCCAUGUCUCAUGUGCCCGCACAUCCACUGGCACAUUGAAUGUUUCCCCUCCAAGUACUUCAAAUCCUGUCCUGUGCUGGUCAAGCCUUUCAACACCUCAACUCAGGCCCUCAUUCAAUCAUUGCUGUGAUCCCUUUCCAACAUUGUAAGUAGCCCUCGCAUUCCUAUUCCCCAUAAUAUGGUACUAUAAAUGUCUUUAUUAAAUGCUU